AUCUGAUGUAUACACUUAAAACAUUAUUUCCACAUCAUUUGGGCUUUUCUGCACUAGUAAUCUUGUUGCUAUUUUUCUUCUCAGUGCAAUACUCACACAUUUCAGGAAGGGAUAGCUCUGAUCUCAGAUGACUGAUGAGCUGAGCAAGAGGUUUCCUAUCAAGCAGAAGUACUAGCCAAGCCUAGCAAUCUGCAAGGUGAAAUGAUGGCCCACUUGCCGUUUUACUCCAAUCAUAGGAGCCUCAGAAAGAAUAAGCAUCGCUCUGAUAUCCUGCGAUCUAGAACUCAGAGCACCACUGCUUUCCAAAUCCUGGCGGCUGCCGGGCAAGACUGUCUUUCUACACCUAAAAAACUAAGGACACAUUUCGGACAGAGAAGACCGCUGGAUUGAAUGAGGUGUAAAUGAGGCUAUUCAUGUUAAAGUGGAGAAACCAUCCCAAAAAAGAAGACGGGGCCUUCUACACCAUCUGUGUGCUACAUACAAUGCUGUUCUAACAUCUUUACCUCAGCGGCUUCACAAAACUUCACACCUCUGCAAUUUACACAAGUAACACCUGUCUCUUUGAGUUGCAUGACUCAUUGGUAAUUCUAUCACAAUAACUACACAGCAUUCAGAAUCUCUGUGAGUUACAGUUGUCACCUCUGGAUAGUUACACUGCACCAUUCUGAUUGAAUUAUUGGAAGAGUUUGUAUGAAGAGGAUUUCCUGUACCAGUUAGUUGAACAGCAGAAGUUGCUUGGAUGAGUAGUGAAACGUCUUUAAUGAUUACUCAGCAAGUCCACUAGAUAUACUUCUACUAGAUAGUUUACUUUAUUAUAUUGUAACAGGCAUAUUACAUGGUUUUGAAGUCGGCAUAAGAGUUCCACUGCCUUAUAUAUACUGUAUGUAUUGAAUAUAUGGCAACCUUCAUGCUGAGGCUCACUGCCCCUAAAUAUUCAUUGUUCCCUUUCUAUGCAGUGUUGCAAAUUGGUAGUAAUAUGGAAAAUGAUUUGUACAUCAAGGAAAAGACACAAUGAUUUGAGCUGCUACUUUUUUUACGUGUAGCCACCACUUAUAAAAAAUACUAGAUAUAAUAAAUCUGCUGCCAUAGUUAUGUGAGUUAAUAUUUUUACUAGCAUGUUAUAGAGGUCAUUCUGAAGAUGUGAACAUUAUUAGUGCAACUGGUCUGAUCUGAACUGACACCUCAUCUAAGAAUGAUAGAUAGCCUGCAGUCAAUAGAGUUUGUGUUUAAAGCUUUCCUAAGUCAUUUCAUGGAACCCGAUUAACCAAAAUAAAGCUUAACACAAGAUAGUGACAAGGCUUUAAAUAAUAACACAAGAAAUGUAGAAUUCUGGAACCAUUAGAUAAUUAUAGAAAGAACAAGUGAACUUUUUUUUUUUUUUGCAAUGUCAGGCGUGUCAUUUAAGUUAUGAGUAUGUCAUCAUUAUUGUAGAACCUCUAUAUCAAUUAUAUUGUAAUUGCUUUAUAUCAAAGCAAAUGUUACUAUAAAGUAAACAUUUUCUAGCCUAUGGAGGUUCUAGUGGGUGACUUUACUGAUAAUUAGUUGGUCUUAUAGCAGCUGAAUAAAACCAAGACUAUUGGACCCCACAAAGCAGAUUUGUUUUCAAAUAACCUGCCUACACAGUUCAAAGCACCCACUAAGAAUUUUUAAAGAUCUGUAUGACAACGUCUGUAUGUUUUUUUGAAUAUACAUCAACAGGAAUCAAUAGUAAUGUAGACAAUUGUAAUAAUUGAACAAAAGUUUGAUACCAUUGUUUAAAUUCCUGUUGAGUGCCCUCAAUUUUAUUUGGUAUUUACAUUAUAGAAUACCAGCACAGGUACUUUUUUGUGACUUUAUGAUUGUGCGAUCUUUCCUGGUCUGUAUGUAUAUAUUACACACAAGUAUCAUGAUGAAUAUCCUGUAAAUGAUAUACAGCGCUGGUUAAUGUACUCUGUUAUAAUUGGUGCUUGUUAAUGUAAUUUGUGUUUCAAGACUCACUGAAAUGUAUGUAAUAUAAUUAACAAGUAGCCAUUUUGUAAAGUAUGAGGAUAUCCUCGGCCUGCAGCCUUACGAUUUUAGAUGUUCAAGCAACUCCUAGGUGACUUGUAACAUUUUACAAUAAGAGGUACAUUAUUAACUGUUAACACAGAGCUGAUCUGAACUGCAUGUACAGCUUCCGACACACCAACUUCUGUGUGAACAGUAACUUGGUUGCUUUAUAGA